GUGAGGCUAAAUUUGAACGUAAUGGACUAAAUUGUUCUGGGGAAGAAAUUUUAAGGCUUUACAGCAUCUGGCCUGAAGUGUGGUUACUACUCACUACACUGCUCUGCUCUCAAGUAUCCAGUGAGAUAGAGGAGGCGGAGCAGAAAGGUAUUAAAAAUGUAGUUCGGUAGGAAAAGGAGUGUUAACAAAUUGAAAGUUGCAGACAUGGCAGAUGUGGGAAAAACAAGUGUUUAACCGUUAGAGAUUAUUACAGAGGGACCUCCCACUCCUCAAUGGGUGUGUCUGAGUCACAGAGUUAACUGAGCAUCAGAGGUGGGAUGUUAUGAUUAAAACUGAUAUGCUUAGGUAUCAAGCUGAGAAAGGGCAGAAGGAUGAUUGUUAGUCUGGAUCAUUAACUUCAAAGUACUGAGAAUCACCUAGGAGACACACCUCUAGACGCCUGUGAGGGCAUUUCCUAGGAGUUUAACUGAAGAGGAGAGGUGAUCCACCCCUAACAUAGGCGGCAGCAUCUCAUGAACUACAGACUGGGAUGGAGAAAAAGGAAGCCAGAUGAUAAGUUUGUGAAAUGAGGAAGAAAAAAGCCAUUCCCAAGAUCUGGUGACAGGAGCUUCCAGCAAUGACCCUGACCCCUAUCAGUCAUAUAAGAGUACUCCUUUCAUCUGUGAACAAAGAAUUUAACCUAACUGGCGUCUCAUUUACUACAUGCCAAGAACAAGCCAAAUCAGCCUUUCAAGUGGCUUUUUUCCUGUAAGCUUUACUUCUAGGAGUCAAAGGAACCCCAGGAAACCAAAAACUUAACUUACAUCUACAAAGCAUAAAGGCUCUCUUUACUGCGCAUUUCAAAGGGACUUCUGAACUGUACAGGCUCUAUGGACCUCACCUCCAUGCCUUUGUAGCCAUCCUUCGACUGCUGGAGAGCUUCUGUUAUCCCACGGCAGUCUUGGAGAUCUCUCUGUAGCUGAGACACCAGAUGACGCUUCACGGAGUUGCUUUUCAGCAAGUGCUGAACUUGGGCUUUCAACUUCAAGAUAAGCUCAUCCUUCGAAAGCUCUUCCUUUGGGGCUUCUUGCUGUGCAGUACUGAUGAGGAAAUGGCCAGUUUUAGGAUUAAACCAAGUAACCAAUCAAACACAGUUAUUCUUUAAAGCCCUAACCACACGGUAAUGUUUUUUUGUUUUAUUUGUUUGUUGGGUUGGUUGGUUUUUGCGAGACAGGGUUUCUCUGUGUAGUUUUUGGUGCCUGUCCUGGAUCUCGCUCUGUAGGCCAGGCUGGCCUCGAACUCACAGAGAUCCGCCUGGCUCUGCCUCCUGUGUGCUAAGAUUAAAGGCGUGCGCCACUACUGCCGGA